rnacentral:rRNA from 1 species
UCGAGCGAAUCUGAGGGAGCUUGCUCCCAAAGAUUAGCGGCGGACGGGUGAGUAACACGUGGGCAACCUGCCUAUGAGACUGGGAUAACUUCGGGAAACCGGAGCUAAUACCGGAUAAUGUUUUUUCUCACAUGAGAGAAAACUGAAAGAUGGCUUCUCGCUAUCACUCAUAGAUGGGCCCGCGGCGCAUUAGCUAGUUGGUGAGGUAACGGCUCACCAAGGCCACGAUGCGUAGCCGACCUGAGAGGGUGAUCGGCCACACUGGGACUGAGACACGGCCCAGACUCCUACGGGAGGCAGCAGUAGGGAAUCUUCCGCAAUGGACGAAAGUCUGACGGAGCAACGCCGCGUGAGUGAUGAAGGUUUUCGGAUCGUAAAACUCUGUUGUUAGGGAAGAACAAGUAUCGGAGUAACUGCCGGUACCUUGACGGUACCUAACCAGAAAGCCACGGCUAACUACGUGCCAGCAGCCGCGGUAAUACGUAGGUGGCAAGCGUUGUCCGGAAUUAUUGGGCGUAAAGCGCGCGCAGGCGGUCUCUUAAGUCUGAUGUGAAAGCCCCCGGCUCAACCGGGGAGGGUCAUUGGAAACUGGGAGACUUGAGUGCAGAAGAGAAGAGCGGAAUUCCACGUGUAGCGGUGAAAUGCGUAGAGAUGUGGAGGAACACCAGUGGCGAAGGCGGCUCUUUGGUCUGUAACUGACGCUGAGGCGCGAAAGCGUGGG